UACGUAGGGUGCGAGCGUUAAUCGGAAUUACUGGGCGUAAAGCGUGCGCAGGCGGUUUUGUAAGCCAGAUGUGAAAUCCCCGGGCUUAACCUGGGAAUGGCAUUUGGGACUGCAAGGCUUGAGUGCGGCAGAGGAGACUGGAAUUCCUGGUGUAGCAGUGAAAUGCGUAGAUAUCAGGAGGAACACCGAUGGCGAAGGCAGCCCCCUGGGCCAAUACUGACGCUCAUGCACGAAAGCGUGGGGAGCAAACAGG
rnacentral:rRNA from 1 species